rnacentral:lncRNA from 1 species
AAUUCCACCUUCAACAAAUGCCGCAGCUGAAGUCAAAAUAUCCUCAGACAUCUUGCCGUCCUCCAUCUGUCAAAAGAUAAAACCUUAAACAUUACUCCACUUUAACAAAGCAAGCAAAAAGGCAACAAGCAUUCUGACUUACUAAUCUCAUAUGCAACGGGAGAAAAACCUAAAGAAAGCCCUUAACACCAAAUGAUCACCUUACCUGCUUUUACUUACACUGGUGAGAAUCAAAUGCUACAUAGAGAUUAGAGACAAUACAAUGUCUCGCUCGUUUGGUUUAAUAUGGCAUCGAUACCAAUAUCUGUUUUUCCAGUUUUCCACUUGGCUAGUCCCCGAUUAUAAAUUUCAUACUAAUUGAUUAAUAUACUUCCAACAGAAGCUCAGAGAAAAACAAAGAGGGGACUAAACCCCAAAAUUUCCACCUUUGUUAAACAAAGUUGAGGAUAACAUCUCAAACCCAACACUGAAAAGAGCUUCCUUCCCCAAAAUCCCACCACAAUCUAUCACCAUGUUCAAUAUAAAAAAUAAUCACCAUAUAACAAAUUCAAAAAUUUCACUUAAUUAUCCCUUAUUCCCGAAACCACUCUAUAACCAACCAAAACAAUAAUACUGUAAGGUCACAUCUGAGUCACGCAAAUACUCAAUAAUUUGAACUACAAGAAGGGGAAAACAAAAAACAAAAUAACUAGUCAGUCCUCCAAUAAGUAAAAGAAACUCAAUUUCGGAUACCCAGUAAUUAAAAUUGAACGAAUUCACAAAACCAUGCGAGUAAUAAUAAAUUACCUCAAAGCAGCUUCAGUUAAAUAAGACACAGAUCAAAGCAUAAGUUGAUAAGAGGGAUUUGGGGUUUUAAGAGAGAACCACAUAAAGGAAAAGAGUGGAAGGGCAAGGAAGAAGAAGACUUUGAACUUUCCCCUAUGAAUUAUGGUUAUUUAUAUAUUUAUUUCUACUUUUUUGGCGUGAUGACUGAGCCCACAAUAG